UGUAUGUGCCUGUGUGUAUAGUUGUGUGUGCAUGUGCAUGUGUGUAUAUGAAUAUACAUAUACAUACACACACACGUAUAAACGCAAGCACAAACACGCACAGAGGAAUGGCACUCGUUGA
ensembl:miRNA Mir669f microRNA 669f